UACGUAGGGUGCAAGCGUUGUCCGGAAUUAUUGGGCGUAAAGAGCUCGUAGGCGGUCUGUCGCGUCGGCUGUGAAAACUCGGGGCUUAACCCCGAGCCUGCAGUGGAUACGGGCAGACUAGAGGUAGGUAGGGGAGAAUGGAAUUCCCGGUGUAGCGGUGAAAUGCGCAGAUAUCGGGAGGAACACCGGUGGCGAAGGCGGUUCUCUGGCUCGUAACUGACGCUCAUGCACGACAGCGUGGGGAUCAAACAGG
rnacentral:rRNA from 1 species